AUCUGAUAGAUUUUAAAAAGAAAGCAAACCACAGUUUUACAGAUGACGUCAAAUAUGAACUUCACUUUGGUUUAUCACUCGCCCAAUGUUCCCAGCAGUGCGUUGAGGAAGAGGAAGUGACGUGUAAAAGUUUUGUUAUUUGUCCUGUGUUAAAUCAGUGUCGUAUAUUGUCCGUUCAUCCUAUAACUAAUAAUGGUGCUCAAGUUAUAUCAUCUCAAACAUGUGAUCUGUAUACACGGGAAUAUUAUAGAAAUGGUAAUACGCCAACAAGUAAACCAGUAACAGUACGAACACCAGUCUGUCCAACUAGUCAUCCAGUGGCAGUACAAACAACGCCUUGCCCAACAAGUAAUGCAGUGAUAGUACAUUCACCAUCUUGUCCAACGUCGUCUGGUACGACAGUUUUAUCAGAUCCACAGACAACUGAUCCAACAGAAACAGAUCCAGAACAAAAUCCAUCAACGUUAAAUCUUACAGUUGGUACUGUAAGUGGUAUAUGUGUGAGUGUUUUUGUAUCGGGCGUCCUGAUUGGUGCAAUAGCAUGCUACAUUAUUCAAAUUGUUAAAAAACGAAGAUCGAAUGACAUGGAGAUGAGACUACUUUCACCCAAAUAAACAUUUAUAAAUAGAUCAUGGACAGUUCUCAUUCUGAAG